GGACCACUUUUCAGUUUUUAUGUUCAUGACGAUAUCCGAUUGGUAAAUGAUGCUACAGUUGAGAAAGAUGAGUCUCAUGCAGGAAAAGUGGUUCUGAGGAGCUGGUAUGAAAAAAACAAACACAUAUUUCCUGCCAGCCGCUGGGAGCAUUAUGAUCCUGAAAAAAAAUGGGACAAAUACACGAUCCGAUGAGGUGGCGCUUUGCAUCCAUGUUAUGUUCAGAUUUUAGGAAUAUAUUGCUUUUUUUCCCCCAGAAGACCUUCUGCACUAAUGCAAUGUUAUAAAUAAUUAAAAGAUGUUUGCAUUUUUUUUUUUUUUUUUUUUUUUUUUUUUGGUAUUGAGAGAAUUUUUUCUGUUUAGAUUUUUCAAGUUAAAGUCUUCUAGGAAAUACACACAUUCUGAUAAUUCCACAUUCUGUGAAUUCUGUUUUCUUUCACACUGUUUAAAUGUAAUAUUGCUUUUUUUUAAUAUGCCAGGCAGUUUAUUAUACAGUGGUUCCUGAAAGUUUGUGAACAGUUUAGAAUUUUCAAUAUGUCUGCAUAAAUAUCACCUAAAACAUUAAAAGUAGAAAAAAAAAAUAAAAGUAGAUAAAGAGAACCCAGUUAAACAAAUUCUACUUGUUCAUUUAUUUAUUGAGGAAAUGAUCCAAUAUUAAAUAUCUUUCAGUGGAAAAAGUAUGUGAAUCUUUGCUUUCAGUAUCUGGUGUGAUCCCCUUGUGCAUCAUUAACUGCAACUGAAUGUUUCCGGUAACUGUUGAUCAGUCCUGCGCAUCGGCUUGGAGGAAUUUUUAGGUCAUUCCUCAGUACAGAACAGCUUCAACUCUGGGAUGUUGGUGGAUUUUUUCAUGGAAAACAAUCUUUCCAGCCUAACAAAAAACUUCAGAAACAGAGGGUUUGUAGAUGUCAAAAAGUAAUUAAACUUCAUUGAAACAGUAAAGUGAGACAGUCUGCAGAAAGUCUGAAUUAUACACACACACACAAGCCUUUAUAUACUUUUCUCAAACAGUAAAUUUAUCUGUAGGCGGGGUAUUAAUCUUUUCUUUCUAAAAACAAACCAAUCUCCAUCGCCUUAAUAAUGUAUAAAUGAUAUCUUAUAUCUGUGGCGCAUGCGUUCAUCAGAACAGGGUUUUUACCUUUAUAAAUUGACCCUUAUACAUGAAUGACUUUCUGGCUUUAGUCCCAGCCUGGUACACUUCAUCCUGGAAGUCUGAUCUGUUAUUUUGACACUGGUUUGCAAGCUUAAAGGGCUUUGUUUGGAAACACAGUUUUGGUGAAUGUCUAAUUGCUAAUUUAUUGCCAUAGAGUGAAGCUGUUGUAGACAAAACACCUGCUGUGCAGUAAAACAUAGACGUCUUCUAGCUCAGAACACACUUAGAAUAUAACUUGAUUAAAAAGUGUUCUAUGGUUUUAGAUUAUGCUUCUAAAUAUUGAUUAUACAUAUAGAUAAUGUUUAAGUAAUAAUUCUAAAUGUUGGUUAUGUAAGGGUCCACUCACCGGUCCAACGAUGGUAUCCAGUGACGAUGGUAUCCAGUGACGGUAUCCUGUGUGUUCCUGUCUUUUUGAAGCGAUGCGAAUACAUUUAGAUUAUUAAAUUUGUCGUUCCAAUUCUGUUUGACUCUGUCUUAAAUUGAAUCUGACUCCAACUGUAAAAACCUCAGUGUUGUAUUUGUUUCCUAAUUAUUUGUAGAACGCAGAUCUGUAAAUACUUUUGAUUUUUUACAUUUGAUUAAUUCUAGUUUAUUCUAUAGUUUAAAUUGUGCUUGUUCAUUCGGAUUCCAUGUCGCUCAGAGUCUCGUACCGGUCGUGUACGCGGAUCUCACGGUCACGAACUCACCAGUCCUGGUCAUUAGCAAGAGGUAAUUGAGUAAUACUAUUUAGAUGGCCACCCAUACUUGCCCUUUUCUGAAAAAUUCCUUGCUUAGUCCCCUUAGAUAGGAACACUAAAUUAUAGUAACGUUAUUUCUAGUCAGAGGUCAUGACCACUAAAUUUACAGAGAUAGACAAAUAAUAUCUGAGUUAAAAUUAGCUUAAUAUAAUCAUAUUAAUCAUUUACAAUAUUAAUUAUAUUACAAUAAUCAGAGGUUUAGACUUGAUCCUAUAUAGACUUGGUUGAUCAACUUUGUUGUCCUAACUGGAAAUUACCUAUCGAGCCUGUACACACUAAGUACACUUAACGCCAAGUUGUUAGCCUGGACUCUAAAAUCUCAGUUGGCGUGCCCCAAUGCUCCACCUAAACCUGGAUUUUAGCCUGUACUAACCUGGUCGCAGAUUUGCGGUAACAAGGACUUAACGUAAUCUACUAGAGACAAUAAUUUCAGAAUAAGUCAGAAUUUAACCAAGUCUAAUCAUUUAUUUAACCAGGUACGAACACAUCCAAAUCCAAUAAUACUAUUAAUAAGAAGAGAAAAGAAUUACAUUC